rnacentral:rRNA from 1 species
CCCUUAGAUGUUCUGGGCCGCACGCGCGCUACACUGAUGCAUUCAACGAGCCUAUCCUUGACCGACAGGUCCGGGUAAUCUUUGAAUCUGCAUCGUGACGGGGAUAGAUUAUUGCAAUUAUUAAUCUUCAACGAGGAAUGCCUAGUAGGCGCAAGUCAUCAGCUUGCGUCGAUUACGUCCCUGCCCUUUGUACACACCGCCCGUCGCUCCUACCGAUUUGGUGUGCUGGUGAAAUGUUCGGAUCGGCCGUUUGUCGCGGUUUCCGCGGCUCGUGGCUGAGAAGUUCAUUAAACCCUCCCACCUAGAGGAAGGAGAAGUCGUAACA